UACGAAGGGGGCGAGCGUUGUUCGGAAUUACUGGGCGUAAAGCGCACGCAGGCGGAUUUAUAAGUCAGGGGUGAAAUCCCGGGGCUCAACCUCGGAAUUGCCCUUGAUACUGUCUAUCUUGAGUCCGGGAGAGGUGAGUUGAAUUCCUAGUGUAGAGGUGAAAUUCGUAGAUAUUAGGAAGAACACCAGUGGCGAAGGCGGCUCACUGGCCCGGUACUGACGCUCAUGUGCGAAAGCGUGGGGAGCAAACAGG
rnacentral:rRNA from 1 species